rnacentral:rRNA from 1 species
UACGAAGGGGGCUAGCGUUGUUCGGAAUCACUGGGCGUAAAGGGCGCGUAGGCGGCCGCUCAAGUCGGGGGUGAAAGCCUGUGGCUUAACCACAGAAUUGCCUUCGAUACUGUUUGGCUUGAGACCGGAAGAGGUGAGUGGAACUGCGAGUGUAGAGGUGAAAUUCGUAGAUAUUCGCAAGAACACCAGUGGCGAAGGCGGCUCACUGGCCCGUUACUGACGCUGAGGCACGAAAGCGUGGGGAGCAAACAGGG